CGACCGGCGCACGGGUGAGUAACACGUAUGAAACCUGCCCGUAGCAGGGGGAUAAGCGGAAGAAAUUCCGUCUAAUACCGCGUAACAACCCAUGGAGGCAUCUCUGUGGGUUUAAAGGAAGCGAUUCCGGCUACGGAUGGUCAUGCGUCGCAUUAGCUAGUCGGCGGGGUAACGGCCCACCGAGGCGACGAUGCGUAGGGGUUCUGAGAGGAAGGUCCCCCACACUGGUACUGAGACACGGACCAGACUCCUACGGAAGGCAGCAG
rnacentral:rRNA from 1 species